CUGGGGAGGGCCCACCACUACACCCACUCCUCGGUGUUGUUCCCCCAAUCCCUUCUCCCCCGCACAUCUCGCUCGGCCGUCGUGGGUUGCAUCGCCGCCGCAGAAAUUGGAGCGCCCGCCGGCUGCCGCACAGGUCGCGGGUGGUGGUUGAGCGCGCGCGCGGGGCGGAGGCGCGAGAGGCUGUGGUGGUGCGCGCGGGGGCUGCAGAAGAGAGGCGGAGCGGGUGAAGGUCGCAGCGGUGCUCUGUCUCCAGUCCGCCAAGGGGUGCGGGGUGAAGGUCGUCGGCGACGCUGCGUUUCCGGCGAGGGGACUUGCCACGGAGUUUCUGAGCAUCAACAAUGUCUGAGACAAGCAAAAAAAGUGACGAUCAGGUCGCACAAGCAACCCAACAGGGUGUAGAUGAAAUAGAGCGCAGGUACGCCCACCACAGCAACAAAACACGCCGGUAAUUGUCUACAAGUGUAUGCGCACUAAAGAGAUCAUCUAACGUGGGAAGCACCCAUCAGACAUAGAUAGUAAUACCAGUGCACCAGAUGCUGAUUUAGAAGGCAAGGAUAUCAUGCAAGAGGAGGAAUCGAAGUCAAAACGGCGGAGGACAGGCGAAAACGAGUAGGAACUAAUGGAUGGAUCAAGCAAAAAGGACAUUCAAGAAGAUCAUCAUGCAGUUAAUCGUGAUGCUGAUCCCUCGCAUGCUAUUGAAUAUCAUCAAGAGGGCUAGAGAAGCACACCCUUUAUUGGGUACCAGCAUCGGGGAAGAAAGGAGAUUGCUGCCCGUGGCAAACGUCCGCUAGACAUCAACAACAAUCUGAGUGUUUUCACAGAUGGUGAUGAAAAUGUUGAGAAAGACACUGCUGUGGAACAACCACCAAAAUUAAAACGUCAAAAGACCGGAUCUAACGAGG